UGGCAAUCAUUAUCUCGAUAAAGGAAUGUGACCAGCAUUCAUAAGUCACUAUACAUACUGGGAAAUAAAAUGCCGUAUUAAUAAAAAGAUGUUGUGAAAUGCCAUGUUACAUUUUUAACAAGGCCACAUGGGACAAUAGAUGGACCGGAUAAUAAGUAUAUAAAAAAUGUAAACUCACACAUGUGGGAGAAAACCCUCAUUUUCUGUGUUUUAUUAAAAAGGGACAGGUUACAAGAAAUUAAAUGUAUAUUUUAUAUUCCUAAACCCUUAUAAAAACGUAUGAUUGAACUAGGGAGCUCUAAUAUGGUAAGUUAACUAUUGAAAAUAAAAACUGUCACUUCUGAUCUUAGAAAUAUAAAGCCUAAGGAAAAUAAAUCAAACUCGAAUUACACCGUUUGUGUCGUUGUAUUUCAUAACGAACAUAAUCUAUAAACAAAAACUAGCGGAACCGAACCGGGGAGCUUUCACAUGGACCCACAGAAAUUCCAACAUUCCAAAUAGAAAUUAUUGACGCAACUUGAAUUGCUAUACCCAAGACAAUUCGAGACUAGAGUGAGCCGAGCUCAAUCAAUCAAACUGGAAAAUCACCUUGACCAGAUAAGGACCCGAUUCGAAGCUCAGCCCCGCGACGAGACGGGCAGGGCAGUCAGUCACCUUUCCAAAAGCAGCCGCUCCAUCGGCAUUUCCCCCCGCUCGUGCGCCUAAAUGUCAGUGACGCGAGCCAUCCCUUUGAACAGGAGGAGGGAAGAGAGAAACGGGCGGUAGACCAGAAGGACAAUGACGAGCCAGAUUUGCCCCCUUCAGCAACAGCUACUGACUACAUUCCUCUCCUUCUCCACCUGCUCACACGAUCUUUCCUUCCUCAAUUCCUCUUGUCCGGACCUGAAAACUCCCACCAGCACAAGGUGUCGGAAUUCCCUGUUCGAGCCAUCGCGUUGGCGGUUGACUUCGGUUGUGGGAAAAGGGACGGCGAGUGGGUCGGUUUCACGUCGUUCUGCUUCUCCCAAACUGUUUUAACUUUUUGUCCGUGGGAGCUCCAUGCUCGAAGCUC
rnacentral:lncRNA from 1 species